AACGAACGCUGGCGGCAUGCCUAACACAUGCAAGUCGAACGAAACCUUCGGGUCUAUUUGCGCACGUGUGCGUAACGCGUGGGAACCUGCCCGUAGGUUCGCAAUACCUCCCCGAAAGGGGUGCUAAUACCGGAUAAUGUCUUCGGACCAAGGAUUUAUCGCCUUUGGAUGGGCGCGCGUUGGUUUAGCUAGUUGGUAGUGGAAUAGCCUACCAAGGCGACGAUCCAUAGCUGGUCGGAGAGGAGGACCCGCCACGCUGGGACUGAGACACGGCCCAGAACGCGACGGGAGGGAGCAGUGUAGAAUACUGGAGAAGGGACGCUGGCGUGAUCCAGCAAUGCGGGGGGAGUGAUGCAGGCGGUAGUGUUGCAAAGCUGUUUUAGACGAGACGAGAGUGACGGUACCGGGAAAAUAAGCACCGGCUAACUACGUG
rnacentral:rRNA from 1 species